AGCGGCGGACGGGUGAGUAAUGCUUAGGAAUCUGCCAUUUAGUGGGGGACAACAUUCCGAAAGGAAUGCUAAUACCGCAUACGUCCUACGGGAGAAAGCAGGGGAUCUUCGGACCUUGCGCUAAAUGAUGAGCCUAAGUCGGAUUAGCUAGUUGGUGGGGUAAAGGCCUACCAAGGCGACGAUCUGUAGCGGGUCUGAGAGGAUGAUCCGCCACACUGGGACUGAGACACGGCCCAGACUCCUACGGGAGGCAGCAGUGGGGAAUAUUGGACAAUGGGCGGAAGCCUGAUCCAGCCAUGCCGCGUGUGUGAAGAAGGCCUUUUGGUUGUAAAGCACUUUAAGCGAGGAGGAGGCUACCUAGAUUAAUACUCUGGGAUAGUGGACGUUACUCGCAGAAUAAGCACCGGCUAACUCUGUGCCAGCAGCCGCGGUAAUACAGAGGGUGCGAGCGUUAAUCGGAUUUACUGGGCGUAAAGCGUGCGUAGGCGGCUUUUUAAGUCGGAUGUGAAAUCCCCGAGCUUAACUUGGGAAUUGCAUUCGAUACUGGGAAGCUAGAGUAUGGGAGAGGAUGGUAGAAGUCCAGGUGUAGCGGUGAAAUGCGUAGAGAUCUGGAGGAAUACCGAUGGCGAAGGCAGCCAUCUGGCCUAAUACUGACGCUGAGGUACGAAAGCAUGGGGAGCAAACAGGAUUAGAUACCCUGGUAGUCCAUGCCGUAAACGAUGUCUACUAGC
rnacentral:rRNA from 1 species